CAAUAAGCGGAGGAAAAGAAACUAACAAGGAUUCCCCUAGUAACGGCGAGUGAAGCGGGAAGAGCUCAAAUUUGAAAUCUGGUAGCCUUCGGUUGCCCGAGUUGUAAUCUAGAGAAGUGUUUUCCGUGCCGGCCCAUGUACAAGUCCCUUGGAACAGGGCGUCAUAGAGGGUGAGAAUCCCGUCCUUGACAUGGACCCCCGGUGCUUUGUGAUACACUUUCAACGAGUCGAGUUGUUUGGGAAUGCAGCUCAAAAUGGGUGGUGAAUUCCAUCUAAAGCUAAAUAUUGGCGAGAGACCGAUAGCGAACAAGUACCGUGAGGGAAAGAUGAAAAGCACUUUGGAAAGAGAGUUAAACAGUACGUGAAAUUGUUGAAAGGGAAACGAUUGAAGUCAGUCAUGCUCUUGGGACUUACCUCCCUUGAGUGGGGUCAACAUCAGUUUUGAUCGAUGGAUAAAGGCACGGGGAAGGUAGCACUCUCGGGUGAACUUAUAGCCUCGCGUCAUAUACAUUGAUUGGGACUGAGGAACGCAGCAUGCCUUAUGGCCGGGAUUCGUCCACGUACAUGCUUA
rnacentral:rRNA from 1 species